AGAGUUUGAUUAUGGCUCAGAACGAACGCUGGCGGCAUGGAUUAGGCAUGCAAGUCGAACGGGAGCAGCAAUGCUCCAGUGGCGCAAGGGUGAGGAACACGUGAACAACCUGCCUUCGAGUUGGGGAUAGCUUCUGGAAACGGGAGAUAAUACCGAAUAACAUCAUUGGGUCGCAUGAUCUGAUGAUCAAAGCAGCAAUGCGCUUGAAGAGGGGUUCGCGUCCCAUUAGCUAGUUGGUGAGGUAACGGCCCACCAAGGCGAUGAUGGGUAGCUGGUCUGAGAGGACGAUCAGCCACAUUGGGACUGAGAUACUGCCCAGACUCCUACGGGAGGCUGCAGUCGAGAAUUUUGGGCAAUGGACGAAAGUCUGACCCAGCCAAUGCCGCGUGCGGGAUGAAGGUCUUCGGAUUGUAAACCGCUGUCAAGAGGGACGAAAUAUGACGGUACCUCUGGAGGAAGCCACGGCUAACUACGUGCCAGCCGCUGC
rnacentral:rRNA from 1 species